rnacentral:rRNA from 1 species
UAGGGAAUCUUCGGCAAUGGGGGGAACCCUGACCGAGCAACGCCGCGUGAGUGAAGAAGGUUUUCGGAUCGUAAAGCUCUGUUGUUAAGGAAGAACGAGUGUGAGAAUGGAAAGUUCAUGCUGUGACGGUACUUAACCAGAAAGGGACGGCUAACUACGUGCCAGCAGCCGCGGUAAUACGUAGGUCCCGAGCGUUGUCCGGAUUUAUUGGGCGUAAAGCGAGCGCAGGCGGUUAGAAAAGUCUGAAGUGAAAGGCAGUGGCUCAACCAUUGUAGGCUUUGGAAACUGUUUAACUUGAGUGCAGAAGGGGAGAGUGGAAUUCCAUGUGUAGCGGUGAAAUGCGUAGAUAUAUGGAGGAACACCGGUGGCGAAAGCGGCUCUCUGGUCUGUAACUGACGCGGAGGCUCGAAAGCGUGGGGAGCGAACAGG